rnacentral:rRNA from 1 species
AUGUCUGUGGGGACGUCCUACGGUGGGCUUAGCCCGUCAAAAGGCGGCCCAACUCAAAAUCCUACCACGGUGCUCUUCACCGAGUGUCGAGGUGGGCCGGUACGUUUACUUUGAACAAAUUAGAGUGCUUAAAGCAGGCUCAUUCGCCUGAAUAUUGUGUGCAUGGAAUAAUGGAAUAGGACCUCGGUUCUAUUUUGUUGGUUUUCGGAAUUCCGAGGUAAUGAUUAAUAGGGACAACUGGGGGCAUUCGUAUUGCGACGUUAGAGGUGAAAUUCUUGGAUCGUCGCAAGACGGACAGAAGCGAAAGCAUUUGCCAAAUGUGUUUUCAUCAAUCAAGAACGAAAGUUAGAGGUUCGAAGGCGAUCAGAUACCGCCCUAGUUCUAACCAUAAACGAUGCCAGCUAGCGAUCCGCCGAAGUUCCUCCGAUGACUCGGCGGGCAGCUUCCGGGAAACCAAAGCUUUUGGGUUCCGGGGAAGUAUGGUUGCAAAGCUGAAACUUAAAGGAAUUGACGGAAGGGCACUACAAGGAGUGGAGCCUGCGGCUUAAUUUGACUCAACACGGGAAACCUCACCAGGUCCGGACACCGGAAGGAUUGACAGAUUGAGAGCUCUUUCUUGAUUCGGUGGGUGGUGGUGCAUGGCCGUUCUUAGUUGGUGGAGCGAUUUGUCUGGUUAAUUCUGAUAACGAACGAGACUCUAGCCUGCUAAAUAGGCGUACUUUCCGGUAUCGCAAAGACCCUCCGCUUCGGCUUCGGUCGUUGUUGGUUGUGGUUCUUACUACCGGCGUACAAAUAUAUCUUCUUAGAGGGACAGGUGGCAUUUAGUCGCACGAAAUUGAGCAAUAACAGGUCUGUGAUGCCUUAGAUGUUCUGGGCCGCACGCGCGCUACACUGAAGAGAUCAGCAGGUUUUCCUUGGCCGAAAGGUCCGGGUAAUCCGUUGAAGCCUCUUCGUGCUAGGGAUUGGGGCUUGCAAUUCUUCCCCAUGAACGAGGAAUUCCUAGUAAGCGCGAGUCAUAAGCUUGCGUUGAUUACGUCCCUGCCCUUUGUACACACCGCCCGUCGCUACUACCGAUUGAAUUAUUUAGUGAGGUCUUCGGACCGGUGCGCGGCAGCGUUUCGACAUUGCCGAUGUUGCUGGGAAGAUGACCAAACUUGAUUAUUUAGAGGAAGUAAAAGUCGUAACAAGGUUUCCGUAGGUGAACCUGCGGAAG